UACGUAGGUGGCAAGCGUUGUCCGGAAUUAUUGGGCGUAAAGCGCGCGCAGGCGGUCCUUUAAGUCUGAUGUGAAAGCCCACGGCUCAACCGUGGAGGGUCAUUGGAAACUGGGGGACUUGAGUGCAGGAGAGGAAAGUGGAAUUCCAAGUGUAGCGGUGAAAUGCGUAGAGAUUUGGAGGAACACCAGUGGCGAAGGCGACUUUCUGGUCUGUAACUGACGCUGAGGCGCGAAAGCGUGGGGAGCAAACAGG
rnacentral:rRNA from 1 species